ACGCUGAGUUGCCUGGCAGAUGGGAAGCGAGUCCCUCCUGCCCUGUGGAGGGGAGGGGCGGAGGACAGCCCACUGUCAGUCCACAACCGCCACGCUGGAGAGACCUGAAAAUCCGGGCUGGCUGCGAAAAUCCAGGCUCGUUGUCAGGCUGGCAGCAUUGGCCCGGGCUGAGUGAAUCAAGUGAAACAGAAGGCAAACGGAUUGACCAAGUUAUUACCACGAGGAAACAGACAAGAUCUCCAGAAUCAUCCAAUGAAAAUAAUAUUGUCCAUAAAGCAUCUAGAGUAUCUGCCCAAGAACCACUGCCCAGGGUUAUUCAAUGUCUUCAGGCCUCACAGGAUGAGGUAAUGGUAUGAUGGAUUUCUUCUCUGUGUCCCUGGAAAGUGCUUUCCUCAUAUCAUAAGCGUCCUCAUCAGGCUCCCUAUUGCUGGCUGAAUAGUACUCUAUGACUGUCCCAUAUACACUGUAGCCCAAUUGCUUGUACAUGUUGACUGCAACUUGGUUAAAUACUCUUACAAAGAGAUCACCUUUCUUUCUGAAAACCACCCUUUCUUUCUGAAAUCUCCUCUAAUAACUCCAUAAGUUUAGCAGCCAAACCAAGGCGUCAAAAUUCUGGGGCAGCAGACAGAGCUGUGACAUAGCCGUGCCAUUCUUCCCUAGCUACUGAGCCUUCUGCUUUACCCAUAAUAUAACCCAUUAAUUCUCCACCAGGUGCCUCUGCAACAAUGAAAUACUCUGGCCAGUGGGUGAGGUACUGUAGGUAAAAAGGAAUCCCAUAGGUUUCUGUAAGUGGAUCCAAGUUACUGUUGUUGAAGCGGAACAGGUCGGCACAGGUAAAGCUAAAAUAUGUGUGUUUUAAGAUAGUUUCAAAAGCCUUUUUGGGCUCUGCGGGGUGGCUUAUGCGUGUCAUUCCAGCACCUUGGGAGGCUGAGGUGGGCAGAUCUCUUGAGGUUGGGAGUUCAAGACCAGCCUGGCCAGCAUGGUGAAACGCUGUCUCUACUAAAAAAAUACAAAAACUAGCC
rnacentral:lncRNA from 13 species